rnacentral:rRNA from 1 species
GUGCGAGGUGAGAUCAAAUCUCUGACCAAUGAACUAACAUCCAUGAACACCUUUCUCCUAAAGAUGUCUAAGGAGGAGGAUCCUGACCAGCAAGAUAAGGUAUGGAUGUCCACGGUGCGGGAGCUCUCCUAUGAUAUAGAGGACUCCAUCGAUGACUUCAUGCAAGACGAAGACAACAAAGACGCAAAGCCAAAUGUCUUGGGGAAGAGGAAGGCUCACCAUCAGAUGUUCCAAGAUCUGAAAAAACAAGUCACUGAGGCGGGCGAAAGAAAUGAAAGUACAACUUUUGACCCUAGAGCUCUUGCUAUCUUUGAGCAUGCCUCAAAUCUUGUCGGAAUUGAUGAACCCAAGGUUGAGGUGAUCAAAUUAUUGACCCAAGGAGAUGGAGUUGCAUCAAUGCAACCGCACCAAGUGAAGAUGGUAUCAAUUGUUGGACCUGGAGGUAUGGGCAAGACAACUCUUGCAAACCAAGUGUAUAGAGAGCUCAAAUGGUGGUUCAAUUGUGACACCCCAAAAAUUUGGCCUUGUUUUAAUGAAUUAAAAUUUUGUCAGGAAUUAAAACUUUGA